UAACUUGGCGAUAUCACGUUGAAAGCACUGGUUCUCGUCCGAUCAUCGAAGUUAAGCAACAUCAAGCCUAGUGAGUACUUCGCUGCAGAGGAUGAUGAUGAUACUGAAAUACUGAUGGACGUGUUGA
rnacentral:rRNA from 1 species